rnacentral:rRNA from 1 species
GACGAACGCUGGCGGCGUGCUUAACACAUGCAAGUCGAACGAUGAACUUGGAGCUUGCUCUGGGGGAUUAGUGGCGAACGGGUGAGUAACACGUGAGUAACCUGCCCUGGACUCUGGGAUAACUUCGAGAAAUCGGAGCUAAUACCGGAUAGGACCUUGCACCGCAUGGUGUGGGGUGGAAAGUUUUUCGGUUUGGGAUGGACUCGCGGCCUAUCAGCUUGUUGGUGAGGUAGUGGCUCACCAAGGCGUCGACGGGUAGCCGGCCGGAGAGGGUGACCGGCCACACUGGGACUGAGACACGGCCCAGACUCCUACGGGAGGCAGCAGUGGGGAAUAUUGCACAAUGGGCGCAAGCCUGAUGCAGCAACGCCGCGUGCGGGAUGACGGCCUUCGGGUUGUAAACCGCUUUUAGUAGGGAAGAAGCCUUCGGGUGACGGUACCUGCAGAAAAAGGACCGGCUAACUACGUGCCAGCAGCCGCCGUAAUAC